GUGGAUGGCUCAGUGGUUAAGAGCACGGGCUGCUCUUCCAGAGGACCUGGGUUCAGUUCCCAGCACCCACA
rnacentral:tRNA from 1 species